UGUUGCCUCAGCCCGAAUUGGCAGUACUUGUGUUGAUUGCGGUGUUCGUGUUACAGAGAUCACUCGCGGAUUACCUGCCUGAAGCCUCCAUCGUGGCUGGUCGUAGCUGUAGAAGCCCCCUAUGAGGCACUCUGUUCAUGACUCGAGUGACGCUGUUUAAUUGGAAGUGUGGACCUUAGUAGACGGCCAGUAGCUUUACAGCAGGGUCGCUACGGCUUUUCUAUACUACGCUAUGCUGCUGCUUUGCCUUUUACCGUCUGUUUCCGUUUGCGAGGGUUCUUUUUCCCUGCUGCUACCAGCCUCUCAAGAGUGGACGUCGGCAUGGACAGCGGCUACAUACAUGCCGGCUACGGGAGUCGGCUGGCAUGCAUGUCGAUUGACUGAAUUAUUAAAUUAAAGUAGUUGGGCGGACAGCAAUUUGGAGUAAUACGGCGACUCCGUCUGCUCCAGAUUUAAAGUUUUAUUUAGUUUGUAUGUCUGUCUCUCUGUUGUUUUGAUUUGUAGUUUGGGUUUUUGGUUACACCACUGGUAGGAGGCCCUUUGUCUAGCUGCGGAUCACCAGUGUGUUCCUGCAGUUGGGCUGACCCCAGCGUGCAUAUUAGUUUUGUUGGAAUAUAUUAUAAUUUUCUUUGUUUCUUUUAUUCAGAUGCGGAGGGCCUGACGUGGAGGAGACUGGGGUGCCUUGGUGGUGGGAUCUUUUGAGUGUUACACACCUGCAUUUUUAGUUCAUUAGUGUGAGCGUGUGAUAGUGUGCUGCACUUGUGUAUUUGUGAGUUUUCUUUUCUUUUUGAGUUGUUUUUGUGCGUGGCAUCCCUGCCCCUCCACUGGUAAGCCUCGGCUCUGAAUACUCUUUAGAAUAUCUGUAUAUUGAUAUUUACGCUUGUGUUUUUAUAUGCUGUUUUAAAUAAUUAUUAAUAAAUUGUCUGUUUUAUCAUU